GACGAACGCUGGCGGCGUGCCUAAUACAUGCAAGUUGAGCGCUGAAGGUUGGUACUUGUACCAACUGGAUGAGCAGCGAACGGGUGAGUAACGCGUGGGUAAUCUGCCUUUGAGCGGGGGACAACAUUGGGAAACGAAUGCUAAUACCGCAUAAAAACUUUAAACACAAGUUUUAAGUUUGAAAGAUGCAAUUGCAUCACUCAAAGAUGAUCCCGCGUUGUAUUAGCUAGUUGGUAAGGUAAAGGCGUACCAAGGUGAAGAUGCAGAGCCGACCUGAGAGGGGGACCGUGCACACGGGACCUGAGACCAGGUCAAGACUCGGACGGGAGGCAGCGGAGGGGAAUGGUCCGAAAUGGGCGAAAGCCGGACAGAGCAACGCCGAGUGAGUGAAGAAGGUCUUCGGAGCGUAAAACUUUGUGAUUAGGGAAGAACAAAUGGGGAAGUAACUAUGCACGUCGGGACGGGACCUAAUCAGAAAGCCACGGCUAACUACGUG
rnacentral:rRNA from 1 species